rnacentral:rRNA from 1 species
UGAGGAAUAUUGGACAAUGGGCGCAAGCCUGAUCCAGCCAUGCCGCGUGCAGGAUGACGGUCCUAUGGAUUGUAAACUGCUUUUUGUACAGGAAGAAACAGUUCUACGUGUAGAACCUUGACGGUACUGUAAGAAUAAGGAUCGGCUAACUCCGUGCCAGCAGCCGCGGUAAUACGGAGGAUCCAAGCGUUAUCCGGAAUCAUUGGGUUUAAAGGGUCCGUAGGCGGUUAGAUAAGUCAGUGGUGAAAGCCCAUCGCUCAACGGUGGAACGGCCAUUGAUACUGUCUGACUUGAAUUAUUAGGAAGUAACUAGAAUAUGUAGUGUAGCGGUGAAAUGCUUAGAGAUUACAUGGAAUACCAAUUGCGAAGGCAGGUUACUACUAAUGGAUUGACGCUGAUGGACGAAAGCGUGGGUAGCGAACAGGAUUAGAUACCCACGUAGUCCCUGAGCGGGCUGGCAAGGCGCAU